rnacentral:lncRNA from 1 species
UUUUUUUGCUCCUUGUUCCAUCUGCUAAUGUUCUUCUUCUUAUUCUUGUUUUUACAGUCUUCUGGGACAUCUGGUCAUGAAGAAAUUAUGAAAAAGAAAGAAACAGAGAAAGAGAAAAGAAAAAAGGAAGAAAGAAAGAGAAAAUGUAAGGACUGA